rnacentral:rRNA from 1 species
UACGGAGGGGGCUAGCGUUGUUCGGAAUUACUGGGCGUAAAGCGCACGUAGGCGGAUCAGUUAGUCAGAGGUGAAAUCCCAGGGCUCAACCCUGGAACUGCCUUUGAUACUGCUGGUCUAGAGAUCGAGAGAGGUGAGUGGAAUUCCGAGUGUAGAGGUGAAAUUCGUAGAUAUUCGGAGGAACACCAGUGGCGAAGGCGGCUCACUGGCUCGAUACUGACGCUGAGGUGCGAAAGCGUGGGGAGCAAACAGG